CUUAAAUUGAAGAGUUUGAUCAUGGCUCAGAUUGAACGCUGGCGGCAGGCCUAACACAUGCAAGUCGAGCGGAAACGAGUUAUCUGAACCUUCGGGGAACGAUAACGGCGUCGAGCGGCGGACGGGUGAGUAAUGCCUAGGAAAUUGCCCUGAUGUGGGGGAU
rnacentral:rRNA from 1 species